ACCUUCUCUCUAAAGCACCCUGCUCAAACUGCAGGAGCUGAACCUGUUUCAGCUCAUGUGGCCGUGUAAGCAUGGGUACACCAGGGAAGAAGAUUAACAUCACAGAAUUGCAAAGGAGACUGGGAGGGACCUCUUUCUUAAUGUUCCAGUUCCUUUGUCUCAAGAUCCUGUGUUACACAC
ensembl:snoRNA